UACGUAGGGUGCGAGCGUUGUCCGGAAUUACUGGGCGUAAAGAGCUCGUAGGUGGUUUGUCGCGUUGUCCGUGAAAACUCACAACUCAAUUGUGGGCGUGCGGGCGAUACGGGCAGACUGGAGUACUGCAGGGGAGAAUGGAAUUCCCGGUGUAGCGGUGAAAUGCGCAGAUAUCGGGAAGAACACCCGUGGCGAAGGCGGUUCUCUGGGACGGUACUGACGCUGAGACGCGAAAGCGUGGGGAGCGAACAGG
rnacentral:rRNA from 1 species